AUGAGAAUACUUAUGUAUUCUAUGAAUUUUAUGAACAUGUACUACUUGUAUAAUCAAAAAUAAAGGAAAAUAUUGAUAUUUCAGUUAAAGUGUAUAUUUGGAGCAUUUAUUUAGUUUAUUUAGAAAUCACCUUCAUUGCGUAGAUUAUCUUAUAGAUACUUAUUAUCUCUGUUUGAAUGUUUGUUUCUCAAAGGGAGGGGUUUUCAUAUUAUUCUGCAGGACCAGCAUUGUGGUUGGGCUUAUUGUAUAAUUUAUAUUCAUAUAAUAGUUUUUGAAUUCAGAAAUAAAUACUAGAUCAAGAUUAACUAAAUCUUAAAGAAACCUGUAUUUUUUCCAUCUUCCCCCAUUAUAAUCUUCUGUUUGAAAUAGGAAAAUGAGAGAAGUAUAUAGAUAAAAUGAAUUUUUAAUACUUAAUAAUAUGUACUUAGACUUAUGGCAAUAAUGUUCUCUGACAACAUAUAGCUUUCAGUUGGAAGCUUUAAAAAGAAAUACAGCACCAGCUGAAGAAAUAGUGAAAUUGAUGAGAAAAUAAAAUGCAAGGAAAUGUACUUUUGGUGUAGAUUUUACUUAAUUUAAACUAAUUUUAAAGAACAUUUUCAUAUAGAGUUUCAAUCCAUAUUUUAAAAUUCUCAUAUGCUCUCCUCAGUUUUACAAAAUAACAUCCUCUGUCUUUUCAAUUAAAGGCAUAUUUUUAUAUUGAUCCCAGAUGUCUAAAAAACUAUUUGUCUCAUCAAAUUUGUCUGAGCAGAAUCUUGUCAUGUAGUAGAAAAAUGAACCACUUUGAGAUGUUUCAUUGUGAAUAAUGGGGAAAUGAUUUUGUAAUUUCACAUUAGGUGGACAAUUCUUUUCAUACUAAAUGGUUAAUAUUUGAGUUUAUUUAAUAAACUUUGGUAUUCAGACAUUAUCUUCUGUCAUCCGAAAUACAAUUUAUAUCCUUUGGAUAAUAUUUGCAGUUUGAAUUUAUAUAGAAACAAAUGUGAGGAAUUUUUUUCAAAGAACCUCACACCAGUUAUAUAAAGUUAAAAUACUCAUAUAAUUACCUCAGUCUUUGAUAUUCAUGUGUUAAUUAUCAAUUAAGUCUGGCCACUUUUUAUGAAUUUUGCAGAUAUUUCUCAUGUACAUUUAAUUAGUUGAAAAUUUUAAAAGUCUAAAUUUGUAUAAAGAACUAUGCCGCAAAUCUCUUUAAUAGUAAGUUAACAUACCUUUAUUACCUAAAAUUUGCUUAAUCCCUGAAAUUUCUAUAUGUCAUAGGUAAAGUGUGUGUGUGUGUGUGUGUGUGUGUGUGUGUGUGUGUACGCAUGUGAUAUGCUUUCUGAAGCAUGGCCUGGAAUCCUGACUGCCACUUUGUAGCUAUUUAAAUAAAGUAUAAAUUGUUUAAUAACUAAGUUUUUUUUUAAUCCAUUAAUAGGAAAUCAUUACACCUACCUCACAGGGUUGUUGUGAGGAAAAACAGUAAAACAUAUGUGAAAGUGCUUUGCAUAUGCUGGAUAGGCAGUAUAUAAAAAAUGAGUGUUAGUAGAACUUCAGUGGACCUCAUUUUUAUCUUAUGAUAAAAUCUAUAUUCUGUGCAUGUGAUCUGACUCCCUCUUUAUGUCCUCAACCUCAUUUCUUUCCUUGCAGACUGCAUAUAUUGAUUAAUUGAUGCCGAGUGCUUUGCAGCUCUUAGAAUAUGUCAUGCCUUCUUUGGAUCUUUGUGUGCUUGCAACAUUCUUUCCAACUACUCACACACCCCUUUUCCCCAGACCGCUAUCAUCUGUGUAACUCAACCUCAUUCUUCAGGUCUUCCUUUACAGAUUUCUCCUUAACUAAGAUGUUUCCUACUCAUCCUUCACCUCUUAUACUCCUGUUAGAUGACCCUUGUAUAUAUAUAUAUGGUCCUCUGGGCUUUGCUUGUUCCUAUGCUAGCAGUUAGCUCAUGUAUUAUUACUGCCUUUGUGCUUGUCUGUUUCCUCUGUAAACUCGUUGAGAGUGGAGUCUGCCUUUAACUUCUUUAACUCAGUACUUAAGAGUUUCUGCCACUCAGGAAACAGUGAGCAUUUUAUAAAUAGAUGUAAGUUCUCCCUAAACAAAUUCAUAACACAUGAUUCAUACUCCUUAAAAAAUGUUUAAUUCUGUAUUUAUAGGAUAGAUUUUAAGCUCCAUAAUAACCAUAUCAAAAUUACGGCAUUUUUAUAAUUGACUACUUUACUCACCAUUUGUCACUCUUAAUGGAUUUAUUAAGAGGUGAACUCACCAGGGUGCAAGUGGAAAGUUACUUUAUUCUUUCCUGUCAUGGCACCUGAAAUCCCACCUUGAAUAUUUUCUUUUCUGCUUCUCGAUACAUGCUUUUCAAGUGUCUAUCUCUUCUCUGCUCUUGUUCUUCUUCCUCUUGCUCUUUUCUUUCUUGCUCUUUUCAUUCUCUCUUCAAUACUUUCUUUGCUUACUCCCUGACAUUUGAAAAUAUACUAACUUUUCAGAUAACUUUUUUUUUAAAAAGAAGGCUAUGAAAUUAAAAUUCCAAAUUCUCAUCCAAUGUGAAAAUUUUCGCUUAUGUCAGCUUUGUUUAAAGAAGGCUUGGGGUGCCGGGGUCAGUUGGUUUAGCUUUUGACUCUUGAUUUCUGCUUGGGUCAUGAUCUCACAGUCAUGAGAUGGAGACCUGCAUUGGGCUCUGUGCUGACCAUGGAGCCUGCUUGGGAUUCUCUCUGCCUCUCUGUCUGCCCUUCGCCCAUUCACGUUCUCUUUAGCACACUCACUCUCUGUCAAAAUAAAUAAGCAUUUAAAAGAAUUUUUAAAGAUCAAAAAGGAAUAAAGAAGGCCUACAAACCUGAGUGGAGACAUGUCAACUAGUGGACAUUUGUAUUAAUUUCAUUUUGCCUUAGUUUUUCUCCCAGCUUCUCGUGCUGCUCCUGGUGGGUCUUCCAAAGUUUAAUGUUAGAAAUAGAGAAGAACUAAUUGGCAAUAAAGGCAUGUUGGAAAUUUAACUUUUUUGCUUUCCUGGAUUUAUCAGACUCACACUGUUGGGGGACACCCCAGUUGUAAUUCCUUGAUACAGUUGAGACUUCCUUUGUUGGUCUCCUUUUGACUACUAUCCUUGGUUUCUGACUUUCUAGUCUAUGUUGAACCUCUUUCUUCUGGGGUUAUCUUGUUCCCUUUGCAGUCCUCUGUAUAGAAUUCCUUUAAAAAUGGCUCAAUGCCAAUUCCUUUCCCAGGAGUCCUUGGAAAAUAUCCCAUUGGAAAAUGUAAUUCUUUACUUCAAACUCUGAAAUUGGCUAUUUCUAAGGUAGUAGCCCCAGACUAAGGGCGUCUUAACCUCUUGCCUUUAGAUGUUUUUAGGCCUAGGUCCAGUUCCUGUAUCAUUCGUUUAAUGCCCUGUAUCCUAAGGGACAUAGGCCAAACUUUGAGUGGGUCGCUGUUCUAUUUCUUCCUCAAACAAUGUAAGCUCCUCUCCUCCAAUAUAUACUUAUAUUUUUUAUAUGAGCGAUGGAUGAAACAAUGCCUGAGCAAUUUUUGGCCACAUUUUUCCAAAUGUUGCAUAGGUGAGCUGUUACCUUAGGUAUAGUACUUAGAACCUUUUGUUGUCAGCUUUGGUUCCUAUCUGAAACUGAGAAAACAAGAAAAUGGCCAUAAUGGUCAUCUUGCAUUUCUAGAAAUUUCUGUGAACAUUCAUCCAUUUCUAUAUUUCUGUGCCUUGUGUUAGGUUAUACUGUGAGUUUGUAAUGUCCUUCCUACUUUUUCCUCCUGGUGGAAUCCUUCCCAGUCUUUGAUGACCAAUUUAGGGGAAAUCUCUGUUGGUGCCUGCAGUUAGAAUAACUUCUGUCUACUGUGUUCUCACACAUACUUUGUGUGAAGUGUUAUUGUAUUACUUAUAAAUUUGUCUGUCUGACUAGAUUGAGAGCAUUUUUUAGAUAGCCACUGACUUAUUGGUGAACCCCUUGCCACUUGGUCUCUAUUAUGUGUUCCAUAUAUUAUUUGGUAAAUUAAUCUCUUCUGAACACUGAGAUUAAACUUUGUAAAAUUACUGUUAAGUAAUUAAUAUUUAUAUUCUUAUUUAUUUCUGUCCAUAUUUCAAAAAAUGUUUGAGGCGGUAAGAAUUAUAUUUUAUGCCUCUGAUUUUUGUCUCCCAGUGUUAUUGCUCUUUAUCUGUUCUUAGGCACAUUCAUUCUUUCAGUUCUGUUUUUCAUUCAGUUUUCUCCAUUUCUCCCUGCAUUCCUAAUAUUUCUUCCUUGUUUUGUUUUUCUUCCUUGUUUUAUUCCAGUUUUCCAAUUGACGGAUUUAACUAUGAGAAGUAAAGAUAACCAGGUAUUCCAAGCAGGUUCAGGCUGAAAGUUAAAAAAAAAAAAAAAGUAAAUAUGACAGAUCUCCAGACUAGUUGAAUUUCAAGCAGUAUAGAUGCCAGAAAUUGUAAUUUAUGUGAUUAUUUGUCUGCAGUCAUAUUGCUUAUACCAAUAGAUUUUUGUGUGUUUUCAUAAGAAGGAACACUAUAAAAGAUGGCCAAGUGAUUGAUUUUCAAUUUUAGAUAUCAAGAAACACUUUAUUUCUAUUCAUUACCCCACUUUCUAAUCACUACAGUUAUUCAAACAUCUAUUCACCUUACAAAAUUAGUAAAAUUAAUUAUUGAAUUUUUUACUUAGUUUAAGGUGAAUAUUACUCUAUGAUGAAAGUUUGAUAUUAGGAAGAAUAAAAUUCCAUUUUUCUAAGUUUUUGUGAACAUAUUGACAAAGCUAAAAUCCAGGAGAGUUUUUACGAAACAUCUCGUAUGGACCAGUUAUCAAAUAGGAAAAUUAAUGCUAAAACAUACAGUUUUUCUAACUAUACCAUCUGAAAUGUACUUCUCUUUUAAAUAUUCAUUAUUCUGUUUUCUUUUCCUUUUAAUGGCUAUUUCUGUUUUUCAGGUGUGGUUUUGUAUAGAACUUUAAGAAACCCUCUUUUGGUGGGUCAAGUAAAAUGUUAAAAAAGUAAAUAUUAUAAACAUUAAAAUUCAUCAAAACCUAGUUCUUUAUUUUAUAUGUAAGCCUAUGUAAUGUCCCAGGCAAAAUACCUUACUUAUAUUAUAGAUAUACAUGCACAUAAUAAGGAAAUUGGCCAUUAAUUGAUAUUUCUUUUUUAUGCUUGUUUCUGAAAUGCUAGCUCCACAUUUCCCCCUUUGCUGCAGGCUAUGACAGAUUCAGCAUGUCUGAAACCAAAGUAGAUAUUUAGUUCUCUAUUCUCAUUCUGCCUUCCAACUGAAUCAUUCUUGCUUAUGACUUCAGUAUAUACCUUGUGACCGAGAGUCACAAUAAUACCAUUCUCUCCUCUCCUUUGACUUGAAUGUCAUCCUAUUUAUUUUCACAUCUUAAUUAUUUUGCUUUUGAGAUGUAUCUUGAAUCAGUAAGCUCCAUUCUAUAUCCAUUGAUAAACUCUAGCUCAUUAUUUUAUCACUUGCCAAGAUUCAUGUACUAGAUUUGUCUUUCUGUUUAUAUUACAUUUUUCUUGAGGAUGGGAACCACAUUAUAUUCACCUUGGUACUUUCCAUGGAGUACUGAGAAUAGUCUCAGUAAAUCCUUUCUAAGCUUACUCAGCUAAUUGUGAAGUUGAUUCUUUGUGUUGAAGCCUUAAAAAUAUUGAAUGGGUUGCUAAAACACAGACCAGUGCCACAGUUAAAAUGAAUCACGCAUUAUUCCAACUUGAUGAUACUCCUGUUAGUGUUAACACUACCAAAAAAGUGCUUUAAGUGAAUUCUGAAUAAUCUCUUAAGAACCCUUGGCUUCAUACUAAUUAUAUUAAAACAGAUUUUCUUGCCAAUAUGCUAGUAUAUAUGCUGGUGUGUAGGCUCUUGCUAUAACUAUCCCAUUAAAAAAAUACAUAUAGUUAUGUGCCAUCUUGAAACUGUAGCAGAAGUCUUGGUUACUUCUCUUUUUAUAUUAGUCCCUUUCUAGAUCUUUCAGAGAUAAAUAAUACAAAUGGGAAGCGAGCUUCUUUGGAAAUCUUGGAAAAGUCUUCACCCCAACUACCAGUCCCACUGUGGAUCUCGAUUUAUCCUAGUAAGGGGUUACAGUGGCCUCCUAAGAGGAGUAACUUUACUACAGCCUAUUUUAGUGCUUCCUGUGCUAGAACUUACAGAAAACGUAUUUUCCCUUUUGCCUCUUCUCAUUGUAAUCUUUGAAAAUAAUCACUGGUUUCUGGUAAUUUACAUUAUGAAGCUGCUCUCAUUUCAGACUUGAUAAAAUAUGAAUAUGUGCUUUUCUGAUCUUUUAGAGUGUUUUGUAAAAUUAUUUGAAUGAGUGUUAGUAUUAUAUAGAAAUAAGAUGACCUUUUAAAUGUUUUUGAAAAAUAUUAUUUUCAGUUUAUAAUUUUAUUUUGAUCAGUAUGGUCUGAUAUUUUCUUUAUUCCUCUCCUGUUUCUUUUAAUAUGUACUUAGUAUGUAUACAUCUUUAUCCAGAUCUUUCAUUAUACACAUACAAAUGUGUACAUAAGAACUUUUAAUUUUGUAGUCAUCUUUUUAUAUUCUCGUAUCUCAGUUAUUUCUUUGAAAUGGUAAGUUUUCAAAUCAGUUUAAUUUUGUUUUUGCUAUAUAAAAAUAUAUUUUGAAACCUGUAUAGGUUUUUUUUAUCUAUUUUCCAGAUUUAUAUAAACUUAACCAUACGUUGCUUUUAUACCCUAUACAUUAUAUGAUAUUUAUGCUUUACAUGUCACUUAGUACAUUAAAUAUAAUUAACAUUCUUUUGUAUAAUAUUUAAUUAUUUUUACUCUUCCAUUUAUUCAAUAAAUUUUUAGUGAUACAAUGUUCUACGCACUCUUUUAUUCUUGUUGGUGAAGAGGGAGAGAAACAUAUAACACUAAAUAAAUACGCAUAAUUUUUUAUUUGUUUGUUUGUUUGUUUAUUUAUUUAUUUAAAUGUUUAUUUAUUUUAGAUAGAGACAGAGAGACAGAGCACGAGUAGGGGGGACGGGCAGAGAGACAGGGAGAUGCAGAAUCCGAAGCAGGCUCCAGGCUCUGAGGUGUCAGCACAUACCCUGACACAGGGCUGGAACUCAUGAACCAUGAGAUCGUGACCUGAGCCAAAAUCUGAUGUUUAACUGACUGAGCCACCCAGGUGCCCCUAAAAACACGUAAUUUUAGAUACGCAUAAUUACCAUGAAGGAAAGGGGUACUUGGGUGGCUCAUUCAGUUAAGCAUCUAACUCUUGGUUUGGCCUCAGGUCAUGAUUUCAUGGUUUAUGAGUUCAAGCCCCGCAUCUGGCUCUGUGUUGACAGCAUGAAGCCUGCUUGGGAUUCUCUCUCUUUCUCUCUGCCCCUCCCCUGCUCACAUGCACUCU